CGGCGGACGGGUGAGUAACGCGUGGGCAACCUGCCUUACACAGGGGGAUAACAGUUAGAAAUGACUGCUAAUACCGCAUAAGACCACAAAACCGCAUGGUUUAGUGGUAAAACUCCGGUGGUGUAAGAUGGGCCCGCGUCUGAUUAGGUAGUUGGUGGGGUAACGGCCUACCAAGCCGACGAUCAGUAGCCGACCUGAGAGGGUGACCGGCCACAUUGGGACUGAGACACGGCCCAGACUCCUACGGGAGGCAGCAG
rnacentral:rRNA from 1 species